rnacentral:rRNA from 1 species
UACGUAGGCAGCGAGCGUUGUUCGGAGUUACUGGGCGUAAAGGGUGUGUAGGCGGUUGUUUAAGUUUGGUGUGAAAUCUCCCGGCUCAACUGGGAGGGUGCGCCGAAUACUGAAUAACUAGAGUGCGGGAGAGGAAAGUGGAAUUCCUGGUGUAGCGGUGAAAUGCGUAGAUAUCAGGAGGAACACCGGUGGUGUAGACGGCUUUCUGGACCGUAACUGACGCUGAGGCACGAAAGCGUGGGUAGCAAACAGG